ACCCAAUGGCAAAAGGGUUGGGUCUAAUACUAAAGGGUUUUGACUCUUUAAUUUUUUAGUGGAUAGGAUUUUUAUAGGGUCUUUUUUUAUAGGGUUUCAAUUAGAGCCCAAUAAUUUAAGAAUUAAAAUAAAAAGUCCAAUAAUAAUGGUUAAGGGUCAGCUCCACUCACCCCUUCGCUUACUUAACCCCAAUAAUAAUUUCCAAAAACCUUUCUCUCUCCUCCAUUGAAGCGCACUCAGAGUUCUCCAUUGAAGCCGCUUCUCAACGUGGGUAUACGGGAGGCACAUUCGUGUUGUGGGACCAUCGGAAGAGCGAAUCAAAAGACAUUCAAAUUACCACAACUGCAUAUCCUGUUUGUGUGACAGGGUCUAUAUUGCCACUUGAUCUUGAGGAAGAAGACGAGCCGUGGACUUCUCUUGAUGAUAUCGAGUAACGCGGACACAAAACAGCUACAUGACGGCAAUUGUGACUUAAUAACCUUUCGUAAUUUUGUUUGUGUUUAAAAUAUUUACAAUGUGGGCCCGUGAUGAAGUAUGAAACAUUUAUUUUAUGUUAUCGUACUUUUAUUUAUCUUAUUGUCUGUAUGUUAUUUGAUGUAGGAAACAAGAGUUGGGGUACUGUUAUUUGAUGUUUAAGUAAUGUUUAGAUGUUAUUUUUUGUUUAUAUACUGUUUUUUAAUGUUAUAAUGGUGUUAUAAAUUGCUCCUAAACUGUUUUUAUAUGCUACAUUACUGUACGUAUCCACCAAUUACUAU